AGUGAACGCUGGCGGUAGGCCUAACACAUGCAAGUCGAACGGCCGCACAGUAAGAGCUUGCUCUUACGGGUGGCGAGUGGCGGACGGGUGAGGAAUACAUCGGAAUCUACUUUUUCGUGGGGGAUAACGUAGGGAAACUUACGCUAAUACCGCAUACGACCUACGGGUGAAAGCAGGGGAUCUUCGGACCUUGCGCGAUUGAAUGAGCCGAUGUCGGAUUAGCUAGUUGGCGGGGUAAAGGCCCACCAAGGCGACGAUCCGUAGCUGGUCUGAGGGGAUGGUCAGCCACCCUGGAACUGAGACACGGUCCAGACUCCUACGGGGGGCCGCAGUGGGGAAUAUUGCACAAUGGGGCCAAGGCUGAUCCAGCCAUACCGCGUGGGUGAAGAAGGCCUUCGGGUUGUAAAGCCCUUUUGUUGGGAAAGAAAAGCAGCUGUUUAAUACCCCGCUGUUCUGACGGUACCCAAAGAAUAAGCACCGGCUAACUUCGUG
rnacentral:rRNA from 1 species